UACAGAGGUCUCAAGCGUUGUUCGGAUUCAUUGGGCGUAAAGGGUGCGUAGGCGGCGCGGUAAGUCGGGUGUGAAAUCUCGGAGCUUAACUCCGAAACUGCAUUCGAUACUGCCGUGCUUGAGGACUGGAGAGGAGACUGGAAUUUACGGUGUAGCGGUGAAAUGCGUAGAUACCGUAAGGAAGACCAGUGGCGAAGGCGGGUCUCUGGACAGUUCCUGACACUGAGGCACGAAGGCCAGGGGAGCAAACGGG
rnacentral:rRNA from 1 species